rnacentral:misc_RNA from 1 species
GGUGGGGGUUAGGUGUGAGGCGGCGCUCGUUGAGAAGGAGGCUGAAGAUGCCUCCGGCGAGAAGUUCGAGUACCAGGCUGAGGUCAGCAGGUUAAUGGAUCUUAUUGUCCAUAGUUUGUACAGCCACAAGGAAGUGUUUCUUAGGGAGCUCGUAAGUAAUGCUAGUGACGCCCUUGAUAAGCUGAGAUUCUUAAGCGUGACUGAUCCUACCUUGCUUGGUGACGGCGGUGAAUUGGAGAUACGCAUAAAGCCAGAUCUGGACAAUGGGACUAUAACUAUUACAGAUACUGGUGUUGGAAUGACGAAGGAAGAGCUGAUUGAUUGCCUCGGAACUAUUGCUCAGAGUGGAACCUCAAAAUUCUUAAAAGCACUCAAGGAGAACCAAGAAGUUGGUGCAGACAAUAGUUUAAUUGGUCAAUUCGGUGUUGGAUUCUAUUCUGCCUUUCUUGUCGCGGACAAGGUUGUUGUCUCAACUAAGAGCCCUAAAUCAGAUAAGCAAUAUGUUUGGGAAGCGGAGGCUGACAGUAAUUCAUAUGUGAUCAGAGAGGAGACUGAUCCUGAGAAAUUGAUACCCCGUGGAACACAAAUUACCCUACGUUUAAGACCGGAUGAUAAGUUUGAAUUCGCGGACCCCUCAAGGAUCCAGGCACUAGUCAAGAACUACUCUCAAUUUGUAUCUUUCCCCAUAUACACAUGGCAAGAGAAGUCGAGGACUGUAGAGGUGGAAGAGGAAGAAGAACCGAAGGAGGGCGAAGAACCAAAACCGGAGGGUGAAAGCAAGAAGAAGAAAACUAAAACUGAGAAAUA